GCAAGACUUUCUUUCAUCCAACACCUGUGAAUUUAAAUUUUAUCUUGCUUUGGC
rnacentral:rRNA from 1 species